UCGCCCCUCCCCCCGUUCGGGAGGCCCCGGGAGCCCCGCCCGCCGUCGUGCCCCGCGCACGGGCGGGGGGCGGCCCGCGGCGGCCCUCUCGAGCGAACAACGAACCCCGGCGCGGAACGCGCCAAGGAACCUCACAACGAAGCAACGCGCUCCCGUCGCCCCGGUCCCGAUCGGGCGCGUCGGGGGGUCGUCGUCGUUUCACCAAACACAAACGACUCUCGGCAACGGAUAUCUAGGCUCUCGCAUCGAUGAAGAACGUAGCAAAAUGCGGUGGGGGGGGGGGGGGGAUUGAAGCUCUUGAAACAAAGUAAAGGAAUCAUAGCAGCAAUUUACAUAGUAAAGGAAAUUGGGGACUCAACCAUAAAAAGUUAAUCACAUCCCAAAUUGAAAUUCAAAAAUCAACAAAGCAUUUCAUCUCAAUUUAGAAUUCAUCAUAAGAGAAAAAGUAAAGGGCUACAUCCAACAUAAUCUAGUGUUCAAUGCUGUUGUGGAGUCUUGGAUUGAGAAUGGAUGGAGAUAUAUGAGUAAAACAAAAAUGGAGGGUAUUAAGAAUCCUUUUAGGGUACUUUUGAAAUUUUUAAAAUGUUUUUUUAAAGAAACAUCUAUCAAGUACAAGUAUUUUGACCCAAAAAAAAAACACAUUGAAGGUGAAAAGCACUUUCUAGGUUCACUGCCAACAGCUCCAAAUGAUUCUUUGAUGCAUCAUUGCUUCUAUUGUGAAUCACUCUCUAAAAAGAUAACCAAUUGCAAUAUGCCUGUUUUGAAAUUAUUUUUGGUAAUUAAAUGAAUAUAUAAUAAUAAUAAUAAUAAUAAUAAAACUACUUAAAAAACAACAUUUAAAUUUAAAAAGAAAAAAAAAUUACCUUCUUACGUUACGCACUCCUAACCUUACAAGACAACUCCCAAACCCAUUCUUCAUGCUUCAUCUAAAAUUACAGAAUAAUAGGGGCAAGUAAAUUUCUAAUUUCCGAUAACAUUUCAACUUACCCACUAGCAUUCCUUGUGACCCAUUUACAGAUGAAUCUUGCUUUAAAUAAACAAUAACUACCAAAAAAGAAUUAAAAUCAAAGUACAACGAAGGUUUUCGGAAAGCUCAGAAUUGUUUUACAUAUAAAGAGAAUGGGAAAAAGGGGUUCAAGGUUUCCAUAAUUUCAUGGUGCUGUCUUCACUAUAUGUAGCAACCAGAUUCCUGUGGGGAUGAUGGGUUACGCCGAUUACAUCCUUUUCAUGCACCUGCCAGUGAAAAAAGAGGUAAAAGGGGGAAAAUAAAUAAAUGAAACCACCAAUACAAACGCAGUCCUAAUACUCAUGCCAGUUUAUUGAGACACUGCUUGUGAAGAACUUUGCUGAUUCUUGUGAUGUCAGAUACACCCAACUAAUGGCAAUCUCAAGGUGGUAUUAGUAAUAAAUACUGGCUUAAGCUUCCACUACCUAAUAGCUUACCUUCAUUAGAUGCUCUAAUUUACCCGAUUGGUAGCUGAAGCAGUAGAUAUUCCUACAUAUGAUCAACAGUUCAGUUAGCUAAUAGUAGAACCGACACCUGCAGUAAAUCCAGCAGAGACAAGAACAGGCACAUGGGAAUCAUAUACUAAAGUGACAUUUCAACAAGAAAUGGAAAAUCUUGUUGCAGCAACAGAGCAGAAUACCAUUUCAGCGGUUCUUAAUUACUUUUAAGUUUAGGUUCAAAAAAAAUUGAAGUUACAUUUUUCUCAGCACCAGUUACAAAUUCUUUAGGUACUAAUCACCAUGAUGCUACAAGCACCUGGUUUCGGGUUGAAGGUUCAUUUUCUUCCAAGAAAAAACUUGGCUAACUCACAACUGAACUAGAAAGUUUUGCAAGUGAGGGAAAAACUAGAACUUGAUGAUCGUGCUGGGGCAAUCCAGUUUCCAAGUUUAGCAGAAACUCCCCUCAGGAAGGAAGGGUUCUCCUUGGCAACUGGAGCAAUUGUUGGAAGCUUCUAGGGCCUUGACAAACCAAAAAUUUCUGAAGAGGUUGCAGAGGGGAAAAAUCACUUCCUCCCGCUAAAGAGAAGAAGGUGUCUUCAACUAAUUGAAACUUUUGAUGUUGGCAAAUGGAGGGUCAUUCUUAUUCCAGAAGGAGAUGGAUCCAUUGGGUUGUCAUCAGCAUGAGUCAGUUAACUGAAAGUUCUGAUGAAACCCAAUCAAAAGGACCAAGGGAAGCCAGCAGUUAUGUAUAAAAGUAUAGAGGAUGGAUUGAACAAUGGUUCUCUAAAAGUUGAACCUAAAUUUUAAAGGUUGAGAUUGAAGAAGGCAUCUUUGGUAGUUAAGCAAGAAUGCCCUGAAUGCGCAGCAGCUGGAGUUGGAGAGUGAACAUGUGGACAAAAGCUAAAAGAUGGUAGGGACUCAAAGUAGUGUCUUGAUUACCUGAUCCUAAAAAUGUUUUUUCUUUGUGCAAAAACCACAACCCUUGGGUACUGUUACCCAGAAAGGAGUUUCUCACACGGCUCUGUUGUAAGGCUAAGUCCCCUGUCAAUUCAUAUCCAGGCACUGGACCUUUUGGUGGGGCAGGGGCCACUAUAAGUAUAAAUUGAUACUAUUUGUAUCAGAAAACCCAAAACUUUGCAAAACCAUCAGAGGCUAGAAUGAGAAGUAGGCUACAGGAGGUGCCUUGGAGGUCAUUGCAAUGCUUUAGAAGUUGUGUCUUUCCUCCUCUAGUUGAUCUUUUCAUUUGUGUAGCUUCAGCUACUGGUAAUUCUCAAGAAGUAAUCUUGAACAUUACCAUAUAAAGUAUUUUUUCAUCAAUUAAGUCAGGUUCUGAGUAAGUAUUUUUUUCAUCAAUUAAGUUUGAUUCUGAAUAAAGUCACAAGGCCCACAGAAUUGUGAGUAAUAUGAAAUAACACAAACCAAUGCAGCUACUCCCAAUGUUGGUUUGCAGUGAAGUUUGUAUUUUAAACCUUGUGUAUACUAAUACCAUGAAAAUUUAAAAUCAUAUAAGAACUAAAAGCACAGGAAGAACCAAUUAAACAAAGAUAAAGUCAUCAAGCAAACCCAUUUUUAGGUUAUUAAACCCCCACCUUAUUAGAAGUGCUAUUGGAAAGAAGAAGAAAACAGCAAAAGCAAAGACCAGGAAAAAGUGAAGAGAGAGAAGAGAAAGGUAAAUAGAACUGUUCUAUUCAAAGAAGCAAGGCACAAAAAAUUCAGAUAGAAACAAGCCUAAAAUGGGUAUCCUUUUACGUGGAUGUGUAUUGCAAAAGGAGAACUAUGAAUAGCAGAAUUGGUUAUCGCAUGAGGUCAUAUACUCAUUUUUUUUUUUUUUUUUUUGAUAGGCAAGGUCAUAUACUCUUGUUAAUAAAUUUUAUAUGUGAUUAAAUGAUAGGAUUACUAUAAAGGCAAUUUCAGAUAAAAUAACUGAGGGUGAAACUGAUGAUGACAGCUCUGAGGGGAUAUAUUUAUAAGGCAAGCCCAUGGAAAUGACUAACUAAAAUUAUUAAUGCAAACACUAAUAAAUUUAGUAAUAAGAUAGUUUAAGGAUCAAAAGUUUGCCAGGUGGCACAUUGCCGCCAUAAACUGCCUACUUGAGAAUUGUUUAAAAAUUAUAUAUCCAAAACCAAUAAAACUAGAGCAUAGUUGUCUAAUGAUCUCAAACCUUUUUAAAAACUAUCACCAAAAACCAGCUUCAAAAGUGAAUGAGAAAAAGAGAAAUAAGAAAAAUAGCUAUAUAGUCAUUACUUAUUUAUUGCAAACAAGUAAAGAACUAGAUUUACUUAAUGGAAAUAGAUAAAAAGUAUGACAUUAAGAGCACAGCACUUCAUUUAAGCAAAUACCUGUCUUCACCAACACAAUAAAUCCAUUCUCCUUUGGGUGAGACACAGGCUGCAACAAAAUCUCCACCUUCUCUUUUACCAGAAGAGAAGCUCUUCACAACCUGCAUCACAAACAUUUUUUUUUUUUUUGAUAAGUAACCUGCAUCACAAACAUUUAGAAAUCACAACCAUUCUGAUCGUAGUUCCCCUUGGUUACGCACCUAUACACCUAACUAAAGCUUGCUUUGCUAACUGCUUACAUGUAAAACAAUAAUGAUUGGCUCAUGUUAUAUGCAUCCACAGAUCAUCUUUAUUAAUUAAAGGACGAUCAUCUGCAAAUCAUCAUAAAUGGAUGGGAUAAACCUAAAGAUCUUUACCGCCCACUGAUAGAUCACCAAUUUAGGGACUAUUACAACUCAUAAUCUGUAUAAAAAUUGGGUCAAUCCUGUAUUCAAUACUGUAUUGGCAGAGAACAAGGGAUUGCCAGUUUAGGUCCUCCAUUGCAACCCCUAAACAAUACUCCUACACAAAACCCUAGAGAUUACAAACGGAACCAGUGAUUAUUUGAUUGAUGUUCAGUCAGCUGUAUGACAUAUAAGCAAGAUUUCAUGUUAAAAAGGAUGUACAUAUAAAGUACAAGAUUUCAAUAAGGAUAGAAUUGUUUGAUUAAAGAAAGAUAUUGAACAUUUAAAAGCAACAAACACACGUGUGCCCAGACCCGUAUAGCAACUUGCUUACAGAAAGCAUGCAAGGAGCACUAAAUAACAAAAAAGAAAGAAAAAGAAAUACCAUGGGCAGUAGGAAGGCCUUAACCAAUCCCUAAUCUAUAGCUUCCUUCUCUAGAACCAAAUAAACAAAAAAGAAAGUAAAAAACAAAAACAAUACAAAAAAUCAAUCAAAACUGUAGCACUAAGAAGGCACGAAAAGAAAGAAAAAGGGUAAAACAAAAAAAAUGAAACAAAACAAAGAAAAACAAAGAACAGAAACAAACAAACCACACACAGUAAGAAGGCCUUGACCAAUCCCCAACUUUAGCUUGCUUACCCUCCUAUGGAUCCUAUAGCUAUGAAGAGAUUUGAGGAAAGAAAUUUAUGCCCUUCCUGUCCAAUGAGCUGCACAUCCCUCCACCAGGCCCUCACCAUGUCCUCUAACUUAGGAUGACAAAGCGAUAUGUUGUCUAAACAGAUGGGAACAAGGUCCUACUUAAUUGAAUUGCAGUCACGAAAAUAGAAAAUGGUUUGACAAAGGUUUAGGCAACAUCUGAAUUCUUGGAUCAUGUUGGAGAAUUCAGAUUCCCAUUUAUAGGAAAACAUGAAUCUAUCAAGUCUCUUAAAAGGGGCUCUGCUGCAAGUUACCCCAAGUAAGGGAUGUUUUUAAGGGCUGGAUCCACCAGCUCGCACUCCCUAAUUAAGUGGGAGAAAAAAAAAAACUCUCCCACUCAAAGUGGUACCAGCCUAUGACCUUCUGGUUAUUAAAAUGCAAUCCUGACAACAAUAAAGUUUCUACUCCCCUUAGCAACACCCAAUGGAUCCCAACUAAAAAAUUGUCUUUCAGCUCGGCUAGAAUCCCUUUCACAGGCUUAAGCUAUUCAACUAUACCAUUGAAAUUCAAAGUCCUCCCCACUAUCCACAUGAAACCUAAAGGAUCAUUCCACCACUGCACAAGCCUUCAACAGUACAGUGUCCCAAACUUGAACCUCUUCAUCCUGCUCUCCCACCAGCCCCGUAAAACAGAAAAUGGCUCAUCUGUAUUCCUAGCAUCCAGGAUACCCUCAUAAUUCCCCUAGAAAACAGCUCCAAUCUUAGGUUCUUGAAUCAAGAAAACAUUUGGGACUUGCAAGAAAAUCAUAGAUAGCUCUCCUCUUAUUGCUAGAACCAACCCUCAAAUACUCCAGCUGAUCAUCUUCAUCGAAACCACAUCAAUGAUUAGAUAGAGGACAGUGAUUAGAGAGAGCAAAAUGGUGAAGAAAGAAUUAUGUAGCCAACCCUAAGCCUCCUACUGUAGGAGAACUUCAAGAAAGUCACAGUAAGUCAUGCAAAAAUUCACAACUCUUACACAUGCACUUUAAUUCACAAAUCACAAUGUGAAGUUUCAGUUCUAUGAUGGUCUGCAAUGUUUAACAAUGAGAAAAGAGCCCUCAUCAGUUGGUUAUUUCCUAUUGUCUAUACAACAGACUAAAAUAACAAAUAGUGUGCUAUCUCACCCUAGUUUCCACAAAGAAAAAGAAUAAGUACCUGUCCUUGAAGUGUCAUAAGGUAUAUUGAUGAUGUCCUGUUACACACAAUAAUAUGGUCUGUAUUUUUGGGGAAAAGAUGAACGCCAUUUACAGAUGCGUCACCUCCCUAACAGUUCAAAAAGAAAAAGGUAGUAAUUAGUCAAGAAAUAAAUUAAAGCAGACCAGAUAUGCAAAGGAAUCCAAAUUAGUUAUAUUGCUCAAACCAAAGAGAGAUGCACUUUUUAAAUAAAAGAAGUACCCUUAAAUCCAUCAAAAAUAAAAAAUAAAAGAAGUACCCUUAAAGGAGGUGGUGGCUUAAAUGUCUGCAAACAGUCGGUUGUCUUCACAUCCCAGACCUAUAAUAAGGCAUAUGCAACCUGUUAUGGGCACAGGAGAAUGAAAUAGCCUAACCUAGUCUGUUGUCUUCACAUCCCAGGACAAGAUAAAUUUACCUUUACUGUGCAAUCACUGGAGGCAGUAACAACACGACCUCCGUCAUUUGUAAAUAUAGCAUCAUUCACAUAAGAUGAAUGGCCACGGAAUUCCUUUAACAGUUUCCCAGACUUCAGUCCAUGGAUUCUAAAUCAAACAUAGCAUAAGGUAAGUAACAUUUGAACAACCAAGGGGUCCUCUCCUAUUUCAUAAUCAAUAACAUCAAAAUUGAUAAAACUGCCUCACACCAUAGAAGCUCCACAAGAAAACCCCGACAAGAACUUUAUGUAAACCACAUGAGAAAAGGAACUAGACCAAAAUAUGAAUGAGACAAAUGCCAAAAUGUUGGCAUGUCAGAAUCACUACUCAACAAGUAAUUUUGACACACCACAUUAAGAAACACAAUGCAAAAGGAAAUUCCAUUAAUCAAAUAAAACCUUGCAGUGCUGUCAAAGGAUGCACUUAGUAUCUGACUUCCAUCUCGAGAGAAAACAAGACUUGUAACACCUUGGGAAUGUGCACGUUCAAGUCGGCGUAAGCAUUGACCAGUCCUUAUACGCCACACCUGAUACAUAUAGUUUGCAAAUAAAUCAUCUUCAAUUUUGAUGUCAAACUUCCAAUUUUGAAGCAAUACUCCAAUGUUUCACCAACAGUAUAAUGAAAGAGAAAAGUUGAUGCAAAUUAGAAGGAUGCAUAACACAAAAACAUUUACAAGGUUCAAGCCAAUGACAGGAAUCAGAUAAUAAAAACAAAAUUUGAAUGCAAGACCAAAUUUCUUAAAAUAGAAAGGCAUCAAAUAAAACAAAAAGGAAUAGAAAUAAUUGACCUCAUGUAACACUUUCCAUCCCUCCCUUUCAUGCUUUUAGCUAAAAUCCACCCAGCUGAAUUCCAUAUCUAAUUGGAAUGCAGGGAUAAUUCGGAAUCAGUUGAAAUUUUGGGUAACAUCAUUGCAAUAGCUGUUUAAUUGAGAAAUAUUGCAGUAUUGAUUAUAUUUCCCUUCAUUUUUUGUCAAAAUAACAUGGAGGCAGCAUUUUAUUGAAAACUCCUGAAUGCAUAAAAUGUUAGCCAAAUGCUUAUGUUAUACUUUAUGUAGCAUGGAAAAGAACAACAUCACAGAUAAAGAAAGCAAAGUCUGGAGAAGCAGGAUGAAGGCAACAUCAAAACUUAUUUUAAAAUUCAAGACUCAUCCAACAAGUCUCUGGUACCUGUCCAAGCACAUCGGAGAAGUGUUGCCAAACAGAGUACCAUCUCCAAAGUACACAUCUGUUUGGAACCAUCCAAUCCCUCAAAUGCUAUACAAUCGAAACUCAGAUUUUUUUUUUCCAUGAUAGAUUUUUUGUUUUUUUUUUUCUUUUGUUGCUGUUACCUGGAGGUAAAACUGGAAGCUCCCCCAUCCCCAUUCAACCCCUUGCCACUUGAGCCAAUCCCAAGGUCUGUGAUCAAUUUUCAGAAUCUUAUCAUUCAUCAGAUUCCAGAUACUGCUUUUACAAGAAAAUUAUAGAAGUUUUUCCCUUCUGUAGUUCAAAUGGCAAUAGUUUGGUGGGUACAUGGUCAUUCCAUCAAUACCACCUUCCAUCAAUUUGCCAUCACAACUUACAUUCUCCAUGCCGUGACUUCAUUAGUGGAUGGAACCUUUCAUUUUGGCUCACUAUAUAAAAGAACUGUAAGCCUUUCCUCUUUGCAUAGAUAUGUGCAUCAUCACCACUCAUCUAAAGAUCCUUUUAUACAUUUUCUUAAUGAGAUUCUAAACCAUAUACAAUGAGGACACAGAACAGGAUUUUGUUUGCAGCAAGGUUCUGAGGUGUCUGACACAGCAAAAGAAUACAAGGGGUGAAAAUAACAAUUACCUUGCUACAAAACUUCCUAAGAAACAUUUUGAUAAGUUCAAAUAAAAUAGAAUAUAGAGGGAGAUUGUAAAAGUUACAGCAUAUGAUUUAUUAAAAAUCCACCAUGGCAAGACACCCAAAAAUAGAAGAUAUGGAAUUAAAGGAACAAAUAGAAAUUUAACUUCAAACCAAUGUAUGAACAAUUAACAAUACUUUGAUUUUUCCAUCUUGUGAUCCAGAUGCAAGCAUCUCCGAAUCUCUGCUAAAAUCAACACAAAGGACAGCAUCAUCAUGCAUCAUAAAGGUUUCCUGUAAAAGUUCAUAGCAUGUCAGCAAAUUCAUAGGAGGCCUCUGCCAAAAAGAUAAAUUGCUAAAAGUUUCUUUGUGCUUUGUAGGAACCAAAAAUAGGAAAUAAUAUUCAUUACUGUGUCUUCCUCCAAUUAUUCUUGUCCUUGUAUUACCAUAAAUUUAAUCAGUUAUGUUUAGUAUGCCAGGCAGCCACCCACAAAUAUGUGGCAUUUAAACUAUUUUUCGAAGAAAACAAGCACUUGAGUAUUGAAAGAGCAAGUGUAAUCAACAAACAUCCCAUUGGCCAAAGACCAGACAGCAUUAUGUCUAUGUCAUUCUAUCUUUAAGCAUCUCAUUAGUGGUGACCUUCAUGAUCAUUAACUGAAGAGGAUAUUUCAGUCGUGAGGAAAGGAAUGUCAUUUUUCAAUGUAGGAAGAUUUGAAAGAAGGAUUAAGAAGUGCACAUGCCACUCCUACACAAGGACCAAGAUCACUCCCAGAAUAGAAUCAGUUAAGUAAAACUCAUCCUAAAGAAGGAGCAAAGAAGCCAAUUAACCAGUAUCCUGAUCAUUUUAAAGUUAUGAAGAAACCAAAACCAAAUAGAAGUGAUUAAAAUGACUCCAAAAAGUAGCCACAGGACUUGAGAUUCCGUAUAGACAAGGCAAAACAACUGGAAAAGAUUGAUCCACAACAAAAGAUCUUCCGGGAAGCAACUCUGAAGGUUUCUACUACUGGUAAUUGGGGUUCAAGUAGGAACCACCCUGAGGACAACAUCAAAGUUAACCUUGAUAGGUAGUCUUAGGAAAGCCACAAGAACUGGGUGUAGAAGGCAUUUGAGGACAUAGUAUUGAAAACUUUUUCUUGCACGACUUGUACAUUGAGAAAAUGCAAGAAAAAUAGGAGCUAUUCAAAUUGCUCCAAAAUGAUAGAUAAGUUACAAAUAUCGAUAAGAAUGUAUAACAAGUACAUUAAACAAUUAUUCUGCAGAGUUGCAUCGAAUGAGUUAAGAAUAACAAAAAGUAACAUUUAAGAAAUGGCUCCUAUCAUUGUAAAGAAGUUUCAUCACCAUAUGCAUCCAAGCACCUAUAUUAGAAUAUGGUAAUUAGUUUAAGGAAAAACCACUCACAUCAGCCUGAUACUGAAGAUCCUUCUUAAGUUUCCCACUUAUAUGGUCCCAAACCUGAAAGCACUCUAGAAGUCAGAGAGCAUCUGAGUUUCAUCAAAAAAUAAAUAAAUAAAUAACUAUAAAGAGAACGUUUUUUUUUUACGUUUUUUUUUUUUUUUUGAUAAGUAAAGUUUUUUAAUUUAUAUACCUCAAUAAAUCCAUCCACGGAGCAAGACACAAGAAACUGCCCAUCUGGAGAAAACCGAGCAUAUUCUGCAUGACUUUUUGUUCCAAACUGCAGUGUAACACCAGCACAACACAUGAGAUGAAAAGCAAAACAACUGAAGAACCCAAUAGCAUAAAGGAAAAACUAAACACCAACCAAAUAAUAGCUCAGAAGUUUCUUCAGAAACAUAUAAAUAAGAAUAAGAACUCAAAUGAAAAACUGCUGUGAUUUCCUUCUCCAACACUUCUACAAUUUCGAUGCUUUAAUUCCAUAAUACAGACAAAAUUUCAUCAAAAAUUAAUAUCACCCCAAGGUGUAAACAUUAUCUUUGGCAAUAAGUGAAGAACAAAAGUAUAUUCAAGGGUGAUAUGACAAUUCUGGCACACGAUGCAUCAAAAUGUAGCCACCCACAUACAAUUAAUAGAACACCAAGACAUGAUUCUUAUUUGGACCAUAAAUGUUGCUACAAGAAAAAAAAACAUGAAUCACUUUUUUUUUUUGAUAAGUAAGCACAGAAUUCAUUCAAAGAAGGCAAAAAAGCCCCAAAGUAUACAUGGCAGCUAAGGCCUUACAAGCAAAAAAGACCAAAAACUCACCACCCCUUAACUGGAGGCUAACCACUCCAGGAAUCCUAUAAGGGAAUGCGGCUCCUCACCCCUAUACAAUUUAGCCCAACCCCAAAUGUUACAUACAAACAUUUGAAAAGCUUUACAAAGAUUUUGAUAUGAAAAUGUCUGAUUAUUGUUCUGGAACAGGUUCUAAGUAGUUUAAGACCAACCAAGGACAUUAGACACAACUAUUUUAUGAUGGAAAGGUAAAACAUUACUACAACAGUUAUAAGCACUAUCAUCUAAGGAAACAUCUAAAACAACAAAUCAAGAAUCCAAUAGGCUGGCCAAGAGGAGCCAUUCCUUUUGUUGACUUUGUUGAGGAUCUUUGUGCCUCCUUGAGUUGAGUGUGGGGUUCAGGCCGAAGAUCUUCCCCUUUCUAAUCUUGUGUCUAUAUAUAUCUUUCUUUCCAAAGGACCUCCUAUCCUUCUUGUUAUCAUCUAUUAUUUAGUACAAUUACAGGUAUAAUUUUUCAUCUGAAUCAAUAAAUAACAAGAUAAAGAAAAUUUAAACACCAAUGGUCACUUCUGGCCAUUUGUUAGGCUAAGAGCAUAAAAGGAUAAGAACAUUGUCUGGGAGAUGAAACUUUAGUUUUCAUUUUUCUUUUUUCUUUCAAUAGGAAACAAUGCAUAUUGGGUUGCGCUCCCUCUUCCAUUCAGGCACUGUCCUAUAAAAUUCCAUUUGCUUGUCAAAAGAAAAAGGAAAAACACAAAACGAAAAAGAAAAGGCAAAACAUAAACUAAACAAAACAAAGAGAUGCACAAGUGAACCAGUUCCCCAGAUCUUAUUAUUAAAAAAUUUUCAGCACCCAAGAUCAGUAAUGCAACAACAGAUUCCAGAAAUAAAUAAAUAAAUAUUUUAUCUGGAAAAUGUGAAACAAAACAAACUACUGCAACCCUCCUGGCCUGAAAAAACUAAACAUUACCAGGACCAAGAAAGAUAUAUUACACCUUACCUUGAUGGUGUGCCCGAGAGUUGUUGGAUACAUAUCAUCUACAUCUUGUUUCAUAGCAGCUGUUCCUCGGAACAAGUCAAACUGUGUUCCUGGUGGAAGUAACCCUGAAAGAACAAAAGAAAAAUCUGUCAGGUGAAAAAGAAAACAACAACAAUGAAAGAAAAAUGUUUCAAAAGAUAUAAUCAAUACCAUAAGAGUGCCUAAGCAUCAAUUAAACAAUUGAUUUUCCAAGGCAUGAAAAGGCGGGCAAAGGUUAUGCAAUGAUAACAAUUUUUUAUUUGCCCAUCUAUUUCCAAUAAUAUGCAUUUCAGAAAAUAGAAAAUAUAUUUAAUGCAACUCCAGUUCUUGUACUCAACGAAGGAAACAAGAACUCAAGUGUAUUACAAAACAAAUAAAUAUAUAAGAUUUUGAAAGCACUUUAAGUAAACAAGUCACAUUCACAGCAUAAUGCAACAUUACAAUAAAAUGUUAACCUUGAUGUUGCUGCCACUUCAGAGCCUGACCAAUGAGAGCCAUUAAUCGUGAUGGAGGAACUACAGAAACUUCAGCAGCGAGGGCUGACAAAUGAAAGAGAGGAAAAAUCAUAAAGAAAAUAAAAGACAUGAAGUAUAACUACAAAUAUUAAAGAAAUCACAGUAUACAAUUAUAAAUGCAUUAUGCGUUGAUCAAUCCCAUUGCUCCCUGUAUAUUUAAGUGAGAUCCACAGGCCUUAUUGUGACUUCAAACCAACUGAUUUUUAGUGACAAUACCAACCAUUCUUUGAACACUUCAGACAAGAUAAGAAAGGAAUGACACACUACAUCACUAAGCCAAUACACCAGAGUUUAAAUAACAACUGCUGAAUCAGAGUGCCAAGGCUUGAUUUAAUAACAUGAGAAGAGGGCAGACCAUGCCAUCUGAAGGAGAAAGCUAGGGAAAUUUCAGUAAACACAUUAUUGAGAUUUUAAACUUGCUUUACGUCAUAAAUUUACUGAUGACCCAAAACAGGAUUAGUUACAUCCUUCUUAUUUCCAUAUCCAGCAUUGUGAACAUUUGAUAUUUAUGUGGUGCCAUGGUGAGCAUAAAGGUGAUCAAAUCAUUAGAUCACAUCAAUAACUUCUGCACCACUGGGAUAAACAUGGUAAAAUAAAUGUGAUCAGCCUAUUGUUUAUAUUAUAAUGAAAAACAUAUAAGCUAAAAGAAUUUGUCUAAAUUUUUCUAACAAAAGUUAUACAACUUGGAUGAAGAAGGUCAACAACAUAAUAUGUACUUUAGCUACAAAAUUUAUCUAAAUUUCACUACACUCUUAAAGAAGAUUAUUUACUCAGAAGCAGUAAUAUUUUUCAGAAGUAGAGAAGUUGAUUCUUAUAAGAGCACCUAGUGUGGUUUGUUGGCCUACUCUUAUCUCCCCUUUAUUUCCAUUGCUUUAUUGCUGAGAAGUUAGAGGAGUUACGAAGAAGUUUCCUUAAGGGAAAAUGGGAAGGGAAUUUAGACAGGCCUGAGUUAGUUGAGACAAGGUUUGGGAACCAAAGAAGAAGCAAGAGUUUAUGUCUAUGAGAGGUUCAAGGUUGGGUGUCAUCAAUAAAGUCUUCCAUUGAGAGCUUUGGAGAUUUGUAGAGGAGCUAAAGUCUGUGCAAAAAGUGGAGGCAAAAUAUGGAGAUGGAGAGUAAACUUGGAAGAUUAGGUUUGUAGAUAGUGUUUUCAGGGAAGAAGUAGGAAAGGAGUCAGAGAGCUUUCAAAGAGGGCAGACUGCAGAGCUUCAACAUUGAGCUUAAAGAGUCUCUCCUUGAGUCUUGGUUUCUGUUGUCUAUGGAUUCUUGAGGAGGAAGGAGUUUGUUACCUUAUGAUUUUGUUAGAUCAGGAGGUGUGGGAUGAGAUCAUUGUCUAGUGUUAGUUUGCUAAAUGAGGAAUCUACAAUGUAUACUACAAUAGAUAUUCAUAUGGUGUCCUUAUUGAACUAAAAGUUGUGGUUGAACUAGGAGUCUAUAAUAUGCAUGCACAAUGUCAUAGUCUUUGUUUUUUUAUAGGCAAACAGAAAAUAUAUUAAGCAGCAUCUAACAAUAAAGAGGCGCAGCCUAAGCACACAGGAUAACAUUAUAGUUAAUUAGACUAUUGAUUCAAUUAACACAACUAAUAUUGUUUAAUUUUAGAAUUUAUCUUGUGGAUUCUAUUCAAAGAAGAUGAUGGUAAUCUUUCCGGGUUUCUAGCAUGAAAUCUGAAUUAAAAAAUGGUUCAAUAGUGUGACUUUUCCCUUUAAGAGUCUCAGAAAAAUCUUGAAGUAGACUAUUAACAAAGUUAAAAUUCAAGUCAUAGGUUCAUUGCACAUAGAGUGGAUCUUUUGUUUUUUUAAGUUUUAAAAACAAAGAGGAAUAUCAUGCCUACAAUAACACAUAUCGCAGCCUUUUGUAGGGAACAUCGUGACUUUUUCCUUCAUUCAUAGGCUGUUAACUACACAUAUAAUUUCUAUUUGAGGCCUAUCAAAAUAAAAAAUAAAUAAAAAUUAAAAAGGAAAACAGAAAAAGAGAACAAAAAGGAAUUGAAAGGAAUGAAUAAAAACAAAGAAGAAAAUAAACACUAAUAAAAAGAGAGAAUAAAAACAGGUGCAGACUUCAGGGAUGAGGUGUUACAAGCAAGCAACAGUCCUACAGAUCUAAACAGAACAAAGUCCCUUUAACUUGAUUUUCUUUAAAUCUCUAGGAUUAAAGGAAGUAUAUCCAUCAUCACCAUCUGUUAUUCCUCAGCAGGGUAUACUUUUUCAUUGUCAUCAUCCAAUUCACUUUAGUUUUUGUAAUAUACAGUACCUUUCAUGGUCCAUGUCAAUAUUAUAAUACUUUAACUUCCUGGGGAGAUAACUUCAUUUUCAAUAGGAAAGACAUGAACCCAAAUUUUAACCAGCAACAUUCAUGCAUCAAUUAAAUGCAAUAGCAAUGUGAGAGGCAGAGGGGAAAACCUUGGGCAAUUUGAGCACGACGUUUCUCUUUUGUUGAAUCUUGAUAAGCCUGUCACAUGACACAGUGCACAGUUUUUUAGCACCAAGCACAAACUCAAUGAAGCAGAAACUAUAGCAUAGAUUUGAUAUGAUAAAAAAUAAUCAUCUCAACAAUAAUCAUUUUCAUCAAUUCUAAGGUUAACAAUGCUCUUACUGUGCAAUGGGGGUUCUGUACAGAAAAUAUAGAAGCCAAUGCAACCAACUUGCACAAGGAACCAUAAAAUUGAACAGUGGGCAGAUUCAGAAAUCUGAAAGAAAAUACAAAGGCAAUAAGAUCCUACAAGAGCAGUGAACAUAUACAAGCACAAAUUCCCUCCCUUGGAGUCAGGGGCAUGAUCUGACCAUGCAAGUGAAGUGCCAUGUUUAGUUCACCUCUAGUUUAAUGGCAUUAUGAAGAAAUAUACAGAAGUAAAAGGAAAUGCAACAUGAUGAUUUUUUUUUCUGUAGAUGAAAAGCCACAACCCAAAUGAAGAUUACUAAGUUAAACAAAGUAACCACCAAAGUGUAGCAUAAAUUUCUAUGCUACCGAAACUAUAUCCAUUACUACAUUUGCCAUGAAACCCGCUUUUAAUAGCCCAAUUUCUUUAUAAUAUUUUGACUAUUCAAACAAAUCUCACCAAGCCUAAUGGAUCCAAAAAAUCUGAGAGUCAGCUCAAUACUGAAAGAUAAAUACUUUCUAUUAAUAGGGCGAUGCUAUAGGGUUUUUUUUUUUUUUUUUUUCACUCUCUCUUGAUAGGUAAUAGGCAAUGCUACAGCAUCAUCUUAAGGUAUCAAUAAUUUGGGAUUUUUUUUAGCCAAAAACUAAAUAAAGUCCCUUUAUUUAGGGAACAAAACCUAGACAUAGAAUUCAGAUUGUAUUCAAGUUGGUGGUGAUUGAAGACUCAACUGGACAUCAAUAUAAUUAGGGAAGUUCAAAUUGAUCUGUUUAUUCCCAGAUCCAUAAAAUGAUCACAAUCACUCUCAUAUUUUGUCUGCGUCAGAGGAUCCAAGUUGUGAUUCAUAACCUCUACAUUGAAGGACACGGAAGAAAUAAGAUUGACCCUCUCUUCCAUUAGCCCUCUUCUCUUCAUAUGAGAAACUCUAGCAACUCAUCUAGAAGAAAGCCUUCAUCACACAAUGAUGAGACCUGAAAACUGAAUGAUUCAUCUUUAUUGCAAGUCCAACACCAAUUUCAUUACUCAAAAGUGUUCCAAACAAUUAUUAAUGUAUGCUUUUUCCUCCUCCAAACAAGAUGUAUUGGGCAUGGUCUCCUAUGCCAUUUACUCUUCCAAAUCCUUUGUUUGGUGCCCUCUCUACAAGCUAAAAGCAAAAUACUUUCCCUCAGAUUGUUAAAUCAGGAAGUCGAAGCAUUCACUUAGUAGGUAGGACAUAACAAGAUUAGUACUAAUGCUCUGUUCAAGAUUAGGAGGCUUUAUGAAGUCAUCAGCCACUGAUUAGUGUGUCCUGUGCAUGGAGAGCACAGAGUCAACUAACAAUAUUUUUCUCCACCAUAUUGCCCCAUUGCUCCAUUGCCUUGGGGUCAAUGGCAAAAGCAUUUUUUUGAGUGGCUUGUAUUACAUUGGUUGCCACAGAGAGUUUAUCAAAAAAAAACAUUGGUUGCCACAGAGAUAAAAUAUGUUGACUAUUUCCUGUCAGGUGUUAAGGAGGAACCUAAAGGAAGAAUGUUGAGGCAUGGGAACUUUUAACCACACUUUGGAUGAUUUGGCCUAGGAAGAACACCAGAAUCUUCAACAGAAAAGAGAACCAUUGACAACCCAAAGGGUAACAUCUAACACCUCAUUUCUCCUAAAAGGCUACCACUAAGGAAUUCUCUGGUGUUCUGGUUGCAUUGGAAAUCGAAUUGGCUUCCUCAUUGAAGAGGUGUGUAGUAAUCAGGGCUAUUUGGGCUUAGCUACCUUUUAGGUGCUGCACACUCAAUUUUGAUGGCUGUUCUCUAGGUCACCAUGUCAGAUGGAUUAGUCACUGGUUUGAGGACCAAGGGAUGGAUCAUUAAACCAUUCAAAAGGACUAUUAAUAAUGGGUCGGCUAAUGAGACAAAGAUUCUGCCUUAUUCGAAGACUUGAAAAGAACAACCACAGCAAGGGUCUUUAAACUUGUGCUAAAUGAGCAUUUGGCAACGUUAUACUCUGGCAUCACUAGGCAUAGAAGGUGCCCUGGUAUGGAUGAUAGCUGCAUUGUGGAUCUUCCAAGAGAAACCCAUUGAUCCUUCCUAGGAGCAGCUAACAAAAAGGUUGAGAGACUCACAAAUAGGGAGCUUAUUCCAUCAUCUUUGUUGGAGACUAUUUUCCUGAAUUUCUGCAAACUCUCCUUUGUCUUGGUUCUUCGUUUGAAGGGUAUUUUUAUACUAGGAGAUGUUGUACCGCCUAAAGAAGCCCCACCCUUCCAUGUCACUUUUCAAUUUUUAUUAGUAAUGUUUCUAUUUCCUAUAUGAAAAAAACGUGGCUACACAAAAGAACCCUAACUAGAUCAUUUUCCUCUCUCUCUCUCCCUCCCUCCCUCCCUCUCCCUUCUGUGUCACUUUUCAAUUUUUAUUAGUAAUGUUUCAAUUUUCUGUGUCCCUCCCUCUCCCUCCCUCCCUCCCUCCUCCCUCUCUCUCUCUCUCUCUCUCUAGGCAAACAAAAAUGUUAUUUACAGGAUCAAUCAGAAAAGGGUGCACCAAAGUACAUAGAACAUAUGCAAGAGUUGCCAAUCAGCGAUAAAAGGAGAAAGAAGCCAAAAAAAAGAAACAAAAUCACUCUCUCCCCAUUAUUUAGAACCGAUUAAUUAGAUCUAAAAUAGGGCAAUGUGAAUGCAAUAAGGUUAAAUUUAAAACUAGGAUAAAUUCCAGUCUCAGAAAACCACCCAGAGUCUCAAACUAGUCCAAGAUUAAAUAUAUUUACACUGCCAGAUUUGGUAAUGAACCAUAAUUGUACAAAUUAGAAGGUUUCUGAAGAGGCCGUGAACGUUCAAUAAUGAAUGAAACGGCGACUAUGCCAUUUCAAGAACAAAACCAGUCAACCAAAGAUUAUCAAAUGAUUUCAAGUACAGAAAUGAUUACCAUAUGUGGGAUAUUUUCUAAAAAGUUUAUAAUGCAUUGACUCGAUAACUACCAUCAAUGACAUCAAACAUACACAUCAUCCCACUGUAUUCAGAAACUCACUUAUGAAAAACAAUGGUAAAAUGGAAGAGUAGGUGUGAAGAAUGAUACAAUGUAUGAUUAAAACCAUCAUUCUAACCUCAUGUGGAUCAAAAUAAGUUCGAACAAGAAGAUGCUCAAGACGCAAGUAUCUUUCAGGCUGCUCUUGUUUCAUGACACCCAUUGCCUGAGUUUGUCUUAAAAUAGCACGUGCAGUAUCCAAUUCUCGCAGUUCAAUCAUUUCUAAAACAAUCUGCAAACAGAAAGACAACAAAACCUGAAAAAUGGAAAUAUCCAUGGAGGCAAAUGCAACAAUAGAGCAUCUAAAAUAUGAUAUUUGAUUCUGACUUGACAGUCCAAUAUUGAGGCCAAAACACAGACACAACACCAAGGGUCAAAACAAUCUAAAUUUUUAGCUGAGACGAAAUUGGCUUGACAAGCUUGAACAUAGAAUGAUAGUCAACUCAACCCAUCCUAGGACAGGAGCCAAGAGGGCCACUAGAUGAUAGUCAUAUCGUUCUCACAAGAUAUCGAUAGUGUGUGAGAUGGUAGUCAUUCUCCUCAUGAGAAAUCAAUAGUGCACACAUACAUGCAUGGAAGAGAGAGAGAGAGAGAGAGAGAGAGAGAGAGAGAGAACUACUUGAAACCAUUGUCAUAAAAGGAAAAGAGAAUUGGUCAUCAUUACCAUCCCAAUAAAAGUGAGAAAAGUAUUUGUUGAUGCUUAUAAUUAUUUUAUAAAUAAAAAAAUAAAAAAUAAAAAGAUCCAGAACUUCACAAUUUUUUUCCUUUCAAAUUGUAAAAUUGGAGCUUCUUUAUUGUUAUGCUCUGGAUGCACAUGACCUAGGGCGACCAGGAUACAUUCUCAAGAUUAACCUUUAUCAAGAAUCUCUCGGUUUCAAUGUCACCAGUAUGAGAUAAACCAAAGGAGAUGCCAUCGAUAAAUAAUGAUUGCACAACAAUCUCCUGCAGGUUCAAUACUAGCAGCUAACACCCCCAAGAACCCUCCCCCAAACAACCCACAACACCACAUGCUCCCCCACCCCACCCACCACAAAAAACCCCCUCCUUUCAUGUGUUAAGAUCCUCUGCCAAAUAGCUGCUCAUACAGAGAAAGCACAUAGUUUCUUCUCAGGGAAUUGAACCCUAAUCUCAACAAGCUUGUAGUAAGAUUUCAUUGCAAACCUUCCAUUUUUAGUCCUCUUCCAUAUCAUUUCAUCCUCACUUGCCCAAUCCACCUCCACUCUGUAAAUGUACUCCAAAGAGGAACCUUGGAUUCCAGCAGUUCCUUAUCUGUGCCCGCCUGACCAAUUUGUCAUCCUAGGAACUCUGUUAUAUGUUAUGCUGGAAAAUGUUUCCUUCAUAGUCCUCCACCAACAAUCCUAAUCUUCACCCUCUUUGCAUAUUCCCACUCUGUAACCUAUGAAUUUAGAGAAAUCUUCCCACCAACUCUUAAUUUGCUCCCAAAGGAACCCUACCUCUACCUCUUCAUGACUCCUGGCCACCACUGUCCUCCAUAAAUCCUCCAAAAAGUCAUCGAGCGAAUGAUUUUAUCAUGAAAAAAGAUGGCAAUAAAAAGAAAAUGAGAGGGUCAAUGAUUUGGUUGUAAUGGAGUACCAGCAAACAAAAAGUUGAAAUUAGAAAAACAACCACAAGACAAGCUUAAUCUUACAAAAAAAAGGGAAUAUUACACAAAAGAUUUGGUUGUAACAUGUUUGCACCCUGAACUACAAAAACAAACAAAAAGGCCUCUCAAAUUGUACAUGCAUAAAACUUCUUCCCCUCUUAUCAAUUUUCCAUUGAAAAACUAAUAUUUAAGCAUUUUUUUCAACUAUUUCGAUCCACUUUAGUGAUGAUUUUUCCCUUAUUUAAAAGAAGAAUGUUUUCAAAAGAUCAUGCUGAUGGGAGAAAGCCUUUUAAAGUUUAUUCAAGGAGGAAAGGGAAGACCUAAGUAAACUUUAAGUAGGAUUAAUAUUAAUUAGAAUUGAUUUAGGAUUGGUAUUUGUUGGAGUCUAAUUAAGAUUAGCUAGUUGAGUUAAGAAUUUGAGUCAUGAUAGGUUAUUAGAGUCCUAGUAGACUUUGAAUGUUAUAAUUAGAAUUAAAAUUAUAAUAGGUUAUUAGAAUCCUAGUAGACUUUGGAUUUCUUAAAGAAGUCUAUAAAUAGACUAAUCAAUGUAAAUCAAAGGGAUGAAUUUAUAUUAAUAAUAUUAUAUUUUCUUUCAUUGCAAGGUUGCAACCCUAAAUGGUGAGACUCCUAGAAGGCCUUAGUGAGACUCUAAGAUUCUCCAUCUUUUCUUCAUUGUUUCUUCUCUCCCUAUUUCUUAUCUUAUAAGUUUCUCUACCAUAAAAUUUAUUUGUUGUUCCUCUCCUUACACCCUAAAAAUAAAACCCUAGUCCACCUACCCUUGAGUGUAGGCAACCAUCCUAGGGUUGUCCUACAUCACAUGCCCAGCAACAUUGCAAUACCAAGGAGCAUUGCAAAGUUAAGAAAUUCAAAUUUGCCACUUGAUCCACUGAAAGCAACAGGAGACAGAAUUCACACACAAAUCAACUCCAUUAUGCAGGUAAAUGAUCAAAAUCGGAAGCACAAUUUCUGCAUUGAUUAAAAUUACCUAAACGAAAGAAAUGGCAAAAGAAGCCUCAUAUUUGAGAAUUGGUUUGAGAGAUUGAGAAAGAGGGUUAAAAAGUGUGGGUCCGAGAGCUUAAGAACAACUUUGUGAGAGCAAGAAGGAGCCAAUUUAAGAGAUUGAGAGAGAAAGUUGAUAAAGAGAGUAGAGGGAGUAGAGGGUUUAGAAUGAGUUUGAGAGAGAAAGAUUGGAUUGAAGAAAUUGAAAAAAAGAUAAUAUUGAGAAAUUGUAAAUUUGAUAGGUUUAGAAUAAGAUUUGGAGAUUGAGGAAGAGGAUUAUUAAUAAAAAAUGAAUAUGUAUAUGCAUAUACAUGUACAUAUACACAUAUCUUUGGAGCAUUAAGAAUAAGGAUUGAGAAAAAGAAUAAUGACUGGUAAUUUGAUAUUUUUGCUAAUUCCCUCAAAUAGCUCAAGAGGAUUUUUCUAUGUUUGAAUAGUUCAGGGGCCAAAGUGGACAACCCCACAAUGCAACAACCACCCAACUCCAUAGCUGAGGAUGAUUGGUGGACUACAUAAGCCUUAUAGCUGCAGUUGACGAUUUAACAAUGGAUUAGUAUUGUGCAAGGAUUAAAAUAUCGAAAAUCACAAAAAAAUUGGUCCUUGGAUUUUACAAAAAUAUCGGAAAUAUCGACAAAAACUUUGAAAAAUAUAUUGACAGGACUGGAAUUAAUCAAAACUUAUAGAAGUAUUAAAAAAUUUAAGAAAUAAUAAUAUACAUGUUAAAGUUGUUUUAAUGGGAAAAAAAUUACAUAAAUAUAUUUAAUAUAAAAAAAAAUGAUGAUGUACAUAAUUAUUUUUUUUGUUUAAAAAUGUUUUGACUUAUUUGUCAGUUUAUAUUUAUUUUUUUUUUUUGAUAGGCAAAAGCACAAAGAUAUAUUAGAGAAAGGGAGCUUGAAAGGCAACCCAGAGCAUACAGGGAGUAUACAAGAGACACCUAAAACAAGCAACAAAAACACAAGCACUCACCGACCCUCAACAAGAACCCAACCAACAGUCAGUUUAUAUUUAUAUAUCAUGUUUAAUUAUAAAAUUUCAUUAAGAAGGUUAUCGUAAUGUUUUUAUAUCAUCAAUAAUUAGUUAGAUAGAAUUUAAAAAUGAGAUAAUUAAAUUUAUUUGAAAUGAGAUAAUUAAAAUUAAUUAAUUUAUUAAGAAAAAUCUAUAUUUCUUUUUCUUUUCUUUGUUUUUUGGAAAGCUUUAGAAGACAUAAUUAGUAUAUAUUUAAUAUAUGUGAUAUAUUUUUAUUGAGGGCAGCCUGCCCUACUGGUGAGGGCCAGCUUUUGCAAGCACAAGGUCAUGGGUUCAAACCCCAGCCCUGUUUUUAAUUUUAAAUAUGGAAGGAGUGGUGCAGCGCAUGAGAGGAGUGUGCAAUGGUUCCACACAUGAGAGGAGUGCAGAGCGCCCAAAAACAGCAAUAAUGCCAAAAAAAUCAGAAAAACUCCAAAAUUCAGGAUAAAAAAUCCCAAAAUAUCAAUGAAAUUUGAUCCAACUGACUUUCCAUGGCCGAUUCCCCAUCAUUAGAGUUAAAAUGACAACUAUAUGCAUUCAAUAUUUCUCUUUAUGAUAAUACCAAAUUGUUCAAUGGUCAUUUCCAGGAAUUGUUCAAGGCUCACCAUACACCUAGACUCAUGGAGCUUAAGUGACUCAAUUAAGCCUUCUAACUCAAGAAUCAAAUACUGGCAUUAACUAUUCCUUCUUUUUCUUUUCUUUUUUUGGUAGCAUGUGGCCAUUGACUUCUUAAAAAAAUACUGGCAUUAAAAAUUUUGUUUCUGAUUAAUUUCUAAAAGAUUUUUUUUUUAAUUAAUUUCUGGAAGAUACAUUUUUUUUCUUGAAAUCAAGAUUCACAAAUGCUUUCCAAACAUGAUUUAUUUCCUCCUCCAAUCAAAUUUUCAAAUUAGUUUCUCAUUAUAGAGUAUCUCUAAAUCUAAUCUAAGACAAAGCUCAAGCAUACACACAAACACACAGAAUUAAAGAAUUUUAAGAGAAGAGAAUAUUAUUUCACCCUCCAAAUAUAUAUAUAUAUAUAUAUAUAUAUAUAUAUAUAUAUAUAUAUAUUUUAUAGACAAAAGCUUGUAUUAAGAUACGCCAAAAAAAAGGGGUGCACCCAACGUAUACAGGCAAUAUACACAAAAAACCAACCCAAGCAUCAGAAAAGAAAGAAAAGCCUAGAAAAGAGCAAGGCUAGCCACAAUAAAGAGCCUCCAAAAAAUUCAAAUAAGAAGGAAUUUCCAAAUCCAAAAACUGUUGGAACCACUCCACAAGGGAUCGGAUGAAAAGAUCCCUCAAACUUUGGUGUGAUAAUUCUUCAUCUUCAAAGGUCCUUUGGUUGCGAUCUCCCCAAAUACACCAAAAUAAACAAAUUGGAGCCAGUUGUCAAACUGCUCUUUUCUUCUUCCCUAGCCCCUUGAAUUUCCAUUCUAGGAGAAAAUUUCUCACUGAAACCGGGAACACCCAAACCAAACCAAAAGUUGUUAACAAUACUGUCCAAAGCUGUCUUGUCCUAUCACAAUGAAUCAAAAUAUGAUCAAUUGACUCUUCACUAUCUUUAUAAAGAUUACAUCUAUUAACCAUGGACCAUCCCCUCUUCAUCAAUGUGUUUACAGUUAAUAUCUUCCCCCAAACUGCUUCCCAAACAAAAAAACGAGUUCUAAGAGAAGCAUAAGAUCCCCAAAUCUCUUUAUCUGGGAAUAAUACAUUGUUCCCAGCCCUUAGAGAAUUAUAAUAAGACUUGACACUAUACUUUCCCCUCCCAUCAUAUAUGUCCAAAUAUAUAUACACACAGAAUUAAAGACUUUUAAGAAAAGAGGUUUGUGAGGCUCUAAUUCUAAGUCAAAAAUUUAGAGGAACAAAUUUCUUAAAAUUCUGCCAGGGAUCAGUUCUAAUAGACCCUUGGGGCUCACUUCCACCUGUAAGCCUAACCUAUUUUGACCUUCUAUUUCUUGUUUCCUUCAAUACACAUUUAAACAAAUUUAUCUGAAAUUUCAAAGUAUGUGAAGUAACUUUGUCAGACAUGAUACACCCAAGGAGUUAGGUAUGGAUUUUUGUCAUCCUAAUGUUCACGUGCUAUCAAAUCAUCUCUAACUUUCUCAAGUCACAAACUCUCCAACAUCUCCUAUUUUAGAGGCAUUGUCAUAUAGACUAUUGAAUUCCAUACCACAAACAUAAAAGGUCAUCAAACAAGCCAUCUAAAAACCCAUUUCAUUGUCCUGGACUCCUCUUUUUUCAACUCCAAACCAUUUUACCACAAAAAGGCAGAACCAUUUUACAAUUAAUUAAAUCUCAGCGGUUACAGUUAUGAAGAUCCCUCUUCUUGCAAUUAAGAAGAAAACUGAUGGAGGAGAACGAAAAAGGAGGAAGAAAAUUCUGAGUUGGGAUUGACUUAUAUCUCACUGAAACGGGCAAGAUCACCAACAGCUUUCUCAAUGUCUUUGUGUUUCCAGAUCCAUGAUAUCUUUGUUGAUAUGCAGAUCUUACAAUUUGCAAGAAAAUAUUAUAAAUAAAAGAGAUGGACCUAUAUACCAAAGUACACAAGACAUACCAAGGGUGUCAAAUGGCAUUGUCAUAAAAACGAGAAAAGCAAAUCACACUACUCCCUCUCUCAUCUAGAGCCCACCCAAAUCCACAUAAAAAAAAAAAUAAAGGCAUUGAGUCUUCUCCUAUGUACAAACACACCCACAACCUAAGUUGCACAAAAAUGUGUGUUUUAAGUGCUUGAAUUGUCUACUCUUUACUUUCAAACACCAUUUGAUUCCUCUCCUUCCAAAUCGCCAAAAAAAUGCAUAGGGGAGAGGCCCUCCAUACCAUCCAUUUCCUUCCCAUAAAAGAGCUAGGACAACUUAAGAGAGUUACCUUGACCGUAGAACAAAGGACUCAUGCAAUACCAAACAAAGAGAAUAUAAUUUACCAUAGAACCCUUACUCUGGCACGAUGAAAGAGAAUGUAAUCUAUUGAUUCCUUUUCACUUUUACAAAGAACACAUCUUUUCGCCAACAACCAUCCUCCCUUUUGAAGCCGAUCCUCAAUCAAUACUUUGCCCCAACUAGCUUCCCAAGCAAAAAAAGCCCAUUUUUUAAGAGAACCAUGAAUUCCAAAUGAUGGCCUCUAAAUAAGGAAUUGCAUGCCCCGACUCCAAGAUGGAAUAUAAAGAUAUGAUGGAGAAGACCCUAUUCCUGGAAUCCAUCCAUACCACUCUUAUCAUUCAAUUCCCUGCUCACUAGCAUCCCUUGAAGCCUCUAGAAAAAAGCAUUCACAUCAUCUAGCUCCCAAUCAUUUAAGUGUCUACAGAAACCCAAUGGCCUCCCUCACUCUAAUCCUCCCACACAUCCUCCACCCAAACCUCCUUUGAGGAAGCUAAAACAAACAAGGAGCAGAAAGCCAUAUAUGUGUAUAUCAUCAAGUACAAGUUAGUAAAGUUUUCAAAAACAAAAUUAUAUGGAAAAGAACCAUGAAAACUACGAAUGAAUCAUAAAGAAAGUAAUACGACAAUACGAACAAUCUUAUUUUUGUUAAAUAUGCACCAUCUACCUGCUCAUACAAAUCCUCCAGUUUCUUCCUGGGAAGCUUAAGUUGUGCUACUUGAGGCAAUAUUGCAUCCCACCUUCCACUAUUAAUAUCAGCAAUAAAUGUCUCGAGGCUGUCGACCGUAUUCAAAGAUACCUGACACUCACUUUGUAAUGUCUGAAACGUUUGGUGCAAGGAAUUUUCUUUACAAAACUGAAGCACGAUCUUAAUGACACUGAAAGAUGAAGAAAUACAUAAAAUUAGAUUUACUUCACAUCAAAACACUAUAAAGUAUUAGACAGCUGAAGAUAUAGGAAGAAUACAUAUAAACAACCAGCAUUUCACAUGACAAGUUUUAACCCGCUGUUUGGUUGCCGAGAACAUUUAGAAAAAGAGAAGAGACAAAAAUGCUGAAUUUUCAAAAUUUACAUAUCCGCACUGAAAUGGUAAGCAAAACAGCAAAAAAAAAUUAAAAUAAAAAUGAAAUUAAAAAUAAAACGAGCUCAAACUUCAUUUUCCAUUUUCCUUUUCCUGAGUUUUCUCGGCGUCCAAACAGAGGGUUUAACUGAAAUGAGCAAAGAUUAAAGAGAAUAGAGACGGUAGUAGAGGUAGAUGAAAGAGAAAACUUACUCUCGAGCUUCGAUUUCUAAGGUCGAUGACAUUGUCGCAAACAGUUGUAGCAGAGCGAUGAGAGAGAGAGCGAAAACUAGGGUUUAUGUUGAAAUUGGCGGGUCACGUGCGUGGAGCGUGAUAAUUUUCUCAUGGUUACUUUAUUUGUUUUCACUUCUAUUUUUUUAUUUUUGUUUUUGAAGUUAAGAGCUUUAAAAAAAAUAAUAUUAAAUAAUCCCUUUUUAUUUUUAUUUUCAAAAUUUGUCAAAUAUUUAAAAAUUAAAAAUAUAAAAGGUUAAUUUCUCAAAUGUAUUUAAGCGGGUUUUUUUAAUAUAAUAUUGAACAUCUUACUAUUAUGUUUGCUAUUCUAAAAAACAAGAAAAAAAUUAUAUUUAGUAUUAUUUUAAUAAAAAAUAAAAGUGAAUAAAUUAUAUUUGUUAACUUGAUUUUAAAUAAUAAUAAUAAUAUUAUUAUUAUUAUUUUAUUACUAGUUUAUAUAAAUAGUAGGGAGUUUAAACAUGAUUGGAGACUCGAACAAAUAAAAACCUAAAUUUAAUUAAAUUUUUAAAACAUAUUAAUAACUAUUGAUUUAAAAAUACUACGAAUUAAAAUCUAGUGAUAAGUUAUAUUUUAUAAAAUAUAAUAACUCGUAUAAGAAGUAUGAAUUUACUUUAUGUUGGUGUGUUGGUGCACAUGGAUGCCUUAUCUUGGUUAUUAGAGUUGGGCUUUGAAGUGGUAUGCUAAUUUGAAUGGUUACGUAUUGAACAAGAUGUAUGCAAAACAUGUCUAUUGUUAUUUGAGUGACAUGUGUUCUUCUAAUUACUAUCUUGUAAGAGUUUUUCACCUUGAGGGGUACUUAGGCUAAUGCAUGGGUUAGUGAUCACUUUAAGUCACAUAUGAGUAAGACCCACAUGGAGGUUAUAUAUUCUCGUGAUUUUCAAUGGUUGUUAACUCAACAUGUAGUUUGUGUAUACCCAAAAUAGACACCAUGAUAUCCUGCUAAGGAGACAAUAUAUCCCCUUUGAGUAAUUCUAAGAUACACAGUCAAGGUGAAUUCUUGGCUAGAGUAAUUUCAAUUGAUUAUUGAAAUUAUUGUUUUAUUCUUUUAGGAUAUGGUAACAUCAGUUUACUAUGACAAAGGUGAAUUUGCAACUUGAAGGUUAAAGAUAUAAUUUAUUAGUGGAUAGCAGAUACUAAUUAAAUCACAAGCAAAACAAACAAAUACAAGGAUUAGUAGGUCAUGGGACAACUAUUAUCUUUAGCAAUUAGAUGUGAUUAGUGGAGUGCGGCUAGUUAACUUCAAUUAAGUGAUAGAUUACUAUGAAAUUAUGUUUGAUUAAUUUUAUGAGAGUCGGAAUUAGAUGUUGCAUUAGUUCCCAAUCAAUCUACCUAUUGGGAAUCAUAUAACAAGUAUUUCAUGGGUGGCAUAGAACUCAUCUACCCCAUGCUCUUCCACCUGAUCUCUCCCUUCGUGAAUGUUUGGCAUAAGAAAAGAGUGGACUUCUCUUCCUUUCCUCUUGAUGGUGGUUAGAGUUUCCCUCUUUAGAAUUUUAAACAAACUGAACUGGAAGAUUGAAGCACUAACCCCUAAGGGGGUUUAUAUAUGCUUCCAUAUGGGCUUAAGUCAUAUAAUUCAGCCUACUUGUGCUAAAUUUAAUUAGUUAGCCUUAAUGGACUCCAAUUAAUUAAUUAUCUCAUUCCAAAAUUUCAAUUCAUAAGAUCUAGUACAACCUUACAUUUUUACCAAAAUACCCUUACGCAUACUUUUGUAUUACAUACCCAAAAUACCCUUAAAAUAUGUGUCACCAUGAGUUAUGAGCUCAAGUGAUGACUAUUAUGACCCAUAGGAAAAUACUGACUUUCUUAUAAUCUAAUUUUGAAGUUGGCUCAACACUUCAUUAAAAAGAGUCAAUUGCACUCCAAUAUCAUAUGAAAUUACAACAAGACAAAAUCCGAGUUUGUGACCUACUAUUCACUGUAUACAAACUCCCCAUGAACUAAUAUUUGUAAUCUAAUAUACUGUGUCAUUUCUAGUUUUUCAUCUAGAAUGAAUAGACAUCUAGAUUUUAAUUGUUGACAAUGUCCCUAUAUCAUUCCCAAUGAGUAGAUCGUCAUAUACAAAUAAGAUCUUAGAGCACCAACAUGCUUAUUUGCGACUUCUUGUACACACAAGGCCCCUUGCUAUGAAAAACAUCUAGUUCUUGUAUCUUAUAAAUGAGAUGCACUGCAAUGGAUAGGAGCACUAUGAUGGAUUUGAAUAUGACUAUUGUUGAAAUUUUUUUCCAUAAUUAAAACAAUGUUUUGCAGUUUGAACUAUAACUUUUAGUUACAAAUUAACCACAUAAAACUCAAACUUUCCAUCCACUCCUAUGUUCCUCUUAUAUACUAACUUACACCUAAGGGUUUUAUCCCUUUAGAUGCUUUUAUAAGAACCCAAACUAUGUUAGAAUAUAAAUAUUCUAAUUAUCCCUUCAUAGCCUCUUGCCAAGAACGAGCACUAGGAUUGCUCAUUUCUUCAUCAUAAUCCACGGGAAAUAAACCUCUCACCAUGAUAAGUCACUUGUGUAUUAAAACUAUCAAGAAUGGUAUAUCUUUAUACUCCUUAAUGCAUAGUAUUUUGUGUAAUGUGAAACUAUCUUCUAGUGUUCUCUAAUGUAUAUCACUCCUUGCAACAUUCCUUAUCAUAUAGUCUUCAUCAGAAAUUUGACAUUUGUAUUAACAUACACCUUGAUCCUAACUAUAAAGGUAACAACUCCAAAAGCCCCUUGAAUAUCUUAUAAACGAAUAUACCUUUUAGGUAAAGAAGGUAUAACACAAUCUUAUGCCCAAAAGAAUUUGGGAAAAUAUGAGAAACUUGUCAUCAAUCUCACUAUGUCUAUUAAAGUUUGAUUUAUUCUUUCUUCCAUUCCAUUUUGUGAUGAAGUCCUUGAUGCACAUAAUUGAGAUAUAAUCUUAUGCUUCAUAAGAAAAAAAAUUAAACUUACUAGGCAUACCAUCUUGAUUUAAUUAAAGUGUCUUGGUAUGUGUACCUAAUUAGUUAUCCAAUUUGACCUUAAAUUCCUAUGCACAAAUCCAAACCUAGAGUAUUCAUCAAUAAAAGCGAUGAAGUAUCCAUACACUCUUUACGCAUAAACAUUAAAAGUUUUAUACACGUCAGUAUGCAUUAACUCUAAAUCUUUCAUGACUUUUUAUCAUUUAAAAUAAAUGGUCUACUAGUCAUUUUACUAUUUAUACAAGAUUUGUAGACUAGAAGAUCCCCUAGAAUCAAAGAGUGCAAACUUAACCAAUCUUUAGAUAUUGUUUAUAUUAACAUCACCUAAGACCAAUCUUUGGAUACUAUUGAGAUUAACAUCACCUAAGUAAUAAAAGCCACAUGUUUGAUUACUACUAGGUUCAUUCGUGAGCUUAGACAAUUCUCAUUACUUAACAAAGUGAUAAUGGAGUUACACAAAAAAAAAAAAAAAAAUUACCUCUCAUUAGCCUGCACAACUAGUCUCGCAAUUGAAGCUAAGGUAAAUACAAUCCAUCAUAUAAACUUCUCAUUUGUUAAAAACCUUAUAAAGACUUAUAAACAGUGGGCCUGAAAUCUAUCCACUAUAAUUUGUGAAAUCCAUCACUACACAAUCAACCAUGAGAAAAUGAUGUAUACUUUCCCUUUCCUUUAGGUAAUCCGAGCAUUUAUUUUUCUAGUGUCCUAAAAGAUCACAAAGAAAUUGUUUGCCACAAAUAUUAUUCAUCGCUAAAAGUUAUUUUUAUCAACAAAUUUUUUUAUUCGUUGGUAAAACUUUUUAGUGACAUAUUUGUUGCAACAAUCUUGCGAAAAAUGUUUUUUGUAGCAAAAACAUAUUUGCCACGAAAAUCCUAACUUUUUGCCACAAAAACAUUUGUUGUGAAACAUCAUAUUUGUUGUAGUAAAAAAGAUUGGUGUAUCAAAUGUGGUAUUAAACGGAUCAAAAGACCAAGUGUUUCAUACUUGGAUAUUUGGAUAAUGUUUUGCAAUGGCAACACAUAUCUAUGACCAAGGACUUUAAUAUUUUCCUUUUAGUUUACAAAGGUUAUUCAAUGAUAAAGACAUAUCAACUUAAACAAGUUGUCUUUAAGAUUGUUAUGUAUGAUCUUAAAGACCUAACAAGUUUCCUCUGAGAUGGUUAAGGAGAUUAUUAAAGAUCAUAAAAGUGUUCAUAUGAGAGUUAAGAGUUCUUCAAGCUCUUCUAUUAAGAAGAAGAAGAACAACACCAAAUAAAAAAAGUUUAGAAGGAAGAAGAAAUCUUGAGAGUAUCUUAUCCAAAAAAUGAACUUUAGCUUCUCAUGUUAAAAAAUCCUCAUAACAUUUACUUUCUUUAUUUCUUACACCUUACACAUUUCCAACUUAAUAAAAAUUAUCCUAGAAUUUAAUUUUCACAAUAAUUUAUUUCAUUAAAAUUACCAAAAACAUAACUUUUUAUUAAUUCCUUAAUAGAGAAAAUAUUCUCUAUAAAAAACUUUCAAAAAUUUCUAUUUCCUUUAAAUAAUAAUAAUAAUAAUAAUAAACAAUCCAUUUUGGAAAGUGUUUUUAAAAUAUUUUAUUCCUCCGUUAAAUUACCAAAACCUCUAAAGCUAUUUGGUAAUCUUUCUUAUAAAAAAUUUAUUUAUUUCUUAAAUUGGAAGGGAGGGGGGGAACCUAAAGGACAUGGUACUAUCCUCAUUUUUUUAGGAAAGACCCUAGAGAACCACCAAAUGUGUCAUUUUCCUUUUCUAAAAUAUGGAGAACUUGGAGAGCCACCUAUUCAAAAAAUGAUAUUUUUAAAAAGAAUAACAAUCUAUCAAGCAACAACCAAUUUAAAUAAAUAACAUUGCAAAAAACUUCUCAUAAAAAUUUACUUUUAGGAAUACUAAAAUACAUUUUUUUAAGGACAUAUAAGCAAUAUAAUAAUAAAUAAAAAAACAUAUAAUAAAAACAAGAAAACAAUUAAACAAUUAAACAAAUACUUCUCAUAGUAUUUAGGGAUCUUGUUGCAUAAUUGGUAAUAAAUUUGGAUAAAAUCCAAAUAACCAAUAUUACCAAAAUACCUACAACCAAAAAUAGGGUUAGAAAAUAAAAAAAUAACCCUAUAAUCUUACCUUUAUUGCCAAACAACAGUCACCAACACUUAAAUGCCUAAAAUUCUAAAGAGGGCGUUGGAUACCGCUUGAAACACUAGAAGGAGUGCUCGAUCGCUUGAGCAGCUUAAGCACUAAUCCAGGCACUCAAGCGCUCAACGCUAUCACUCAAGCGUUAAUUUAAGUACUCAAGCACCAUAUCCCAUAAAUGUGCACCUAAUGCUGCUUCUUCACUCUUUUUGGCCAUCAUUUUAUUAAAAAAACUCACCUUUGCAUAUGAGUUUCUCCACCAAGUUUGAACUCUUGGAUUCAAUCUUCUUUUUCUUAGGUUACAAAGAUAGAUAAAAAUUCAAUUUUUACAAUGAACAAAAAUCAUAUGCUCCAUUAAAACCAAACUUACAAUCCAUCAAUGAACAAAAACAAUUUUUGCAUACAAAUAUAAAAAUCCUAUGCUCCUAAACACAAAGCUUACAAUUCAAUCUAGAUGAAGGAAAAAUAAAUACCAUACUAAUCCAUAUCCAUUCACGAGAACAAAUUAAACACUCAUUCAUACAUCCCUUUAGGCCAUGGGAUGUAAAAAUAAAAAUUAAAAUAAAAAAACAUACAAAACAUAUGUGAGCAAAUCCUAUAAUAGAUCUAACAUGCAAGAUUCUAACUUAGGUAUUUGAUACCAGUUGCUAGGAACCCCGAAUUGCUUUGUUUGCAAGCCUUGAAUCAAGUAAGAUGCAUGCAUCUAUCAUAAGUUUCUCUAAAUCUAACACAACAAAAACAUAUAACAUUAAAAACCAUCACAAAAUAAAUAUAUAGAUAUUAAAAACAAAGUUACAAUCUAUAUGUUCUUAGAUCAAAUCCCAUUUAUUAGAAAAAAUUGGGUUAAUUUAACCUAAGGUAAUCAUCCUAGAGGCGGGUGAAUAGGGUGAUAGUUUUUUUUUUUGAAAAUUUAAUUUAUGUGAAUGUAAAGGACAAUUAUAUGCAAAUAUAUAAUAAAACAAUAUAAAGACAAUUGCAUAUGAAGUAAAAGAGUAUGAAAGAGAAAAUGUAAACACAAGAUUUUUAUAGUGGUUUGGCACAACCUGACUUACAUCCAUUCUCUUCUAGCUUAAAUCUCAAACUUGAGAUUCUACUAAUUCAAGGUUUCCAAAUCAAGCUUUCAAGCAAUACAAUUAGAUUAUGAUUUUAAUCCAUCCUUUUGGACUUUAGGCUCUAAGCACUCUUUACAAUCUUUAAGAGAUACCUCACUCUUGAAUAACUCCUCAAAUGAUACCCUACACUUGAGAAUUCCUAAGUGAUGUCUCACACUUAAACUUUUCUUCUCAAAGAUUUAUAAAUGAAGAUAAUAAAUAAUCUCACAAAAUCCUAAUACAAAACUUUAGGCUCAAAUGAUGCAAGAAAACUGGGAUUGAAUAGUGUACUAAGGAUAUGCGAGUUUUAGAACAAUGGUGCACUAAGAAAACACUCUCCCAAGACUAAAAAAUAUUCAAUAAAUGUUUAGGAAAGUUAAGUUAUUGAAACAAUGAAGAUUAAAGCCUUUAUAUAAACGUAAAAGGCCAAACUAGUUGUUGGCCUUUCGUCCAGUCGAGCUUCAAUUUGAUCAGUUCACUAGUCGUUAGCAUUUAAUGCAUAACAAAUGACCGUUAGACCUUGAUCGUCCCUCAACUAGACCUAGAUCGGUUGAGGUUCAAUCAUUGACCAAUUGAACAAACAUUAUGGCAGGAAUAGAAAGUUUUUGCACCUUUCCCCGUUGAACUAAAUAGGUUAACCCGUUCCUCAUCCGGUUCCACCGGUUGAGCCGUUUUUGGCUCAACAAUCAUCAUUUUCAACUUAAAAACCUUUUAAACAUGAUUGGAAAACAUUUGACACAAGGUUUUAGUUGAAAACAUGAAAUCAUCAAAUUUUAAAAGAUUUAAAACAAAAUAACUAUUGGAUUAUUUUGGUGCAUAAAUAAAAAAAUGUAAUGCAUGAAAAACUUAGUGCACCAACAACUUUACAAAGCAAUCCUAUGAAGCUUAGGUCUUGAAAAAUAUUUCUCUUUGAGGUUUUCUUCUUCUUAUUGAUUUCCUUUUGACUUGAUUUUAACUUUUUGAUUCCCACUUUGGAAAUCUUAUUGACUAAUCACACUUGGAAAUAUAAUCAUUAGUUCCAAACCUUGUUUUGUUAUCAUCAAAACUGAGAUUAACCAAACCUUGGUUUCACACUAUUUGAUGAAGAUGUUGUGAACAUCAUCUACCCUGUGCUCUUUUACUUGACCACUUUCUCAAUAAAUGUUUAACAUGAAAGAAUGGUGGGUUUCUCUUUCUCUCUCUCCUCAAGGGUGGCUAGGAUUCUUUUUUCUGGAAUUUCAAAAAAACUGAACUAGAAAACUAAAACUCUAACCCCUUAGGAAUUUAUAUAGGCUUCUUUGUAAACUUAAGUAACCGAAGCCCAAAUUGGGUUUGAGUGACCGAAUCCAAUCCACUUUGGUCAAAAUUAAUUAAUUAGCCAUAACAAGAUCCAUUUAAUUAAUUAGCUUAUUCUAAAAAGUUAAUUCAUAUGAUCUAUGCAACCUAUAGUUUUUUUUUUAAAUACAAAAAAUGACCUUUUUGCACACUAAUGUAUUUCAUACACAAGAUAUUGUCAAAACAUGUAUCACCAUGAACUAGGAGCUCGAGCGGAGAUUAUUAGGACCAUAUAGGAAAAUACUAACUCCCUUAGAAUCCAAUUCUAAGGUUGACUCAACACUCUAGUAAAGAUAAUCAAUUGCACUCCAAUAUCCUAUGAAAUUAUAAUAAGGCAAAGUUCGGGUCCAUGAUGUACUAUUCAUUGUAUGCAAACUCCUUAUGAAUUAGUGUUCUUAAUCUAAUAGGGUAGUGUUAUCAAUCCAUCAAUAUUACUUUUCUAAUCUUUGAGUUACAAAUCCACCUAUUAUGAGAUCAAUUGAUACACUCUAGCUAAAAGAAUCAUAUGCCAAAUUUCACUAAAUAAAUUAUUGUGACCACAAAUUUCAUGAUUAUAUGGCCUUUGGAUCACCCAAAGGGACACGUUGUCUCAAUUUUAUAAGAUAUCAUCAUGUCUUUAUUAAGAAUACCCGUUGUCAUUAGCCUUUAUCAAUAGUGACCUAAUCGGAAGGGAUAUAUGACUUUAAUAAAGUCUCACUCAUAGGUCAAAACCGUUUUUUUAUUUCAACACAAACUCAACAUCCUCUCAACUUUGAGAAUUCAUGCAACAUAAUAGAUCAGUGAAUUAUAACAAUUUGAUAGCCUUAUAUAAUGAUUCACCAUGGGUUUUGUUUAAUUUGUAAUCCUACACACUAGUACACUCAUAAUGGGAACUCUUGAGAACCUUUUAUUACUCCAUUUCCAAACCUUGGAUCUUGUAGGGUGCAUACAUUUAUCCCUAUGGUUUUCUUGAUCUAAUGCAGUGUAAAAAUGAUGACUUCAAAAACCAUUUUAGAAUAAAGAUCUGGAGAUUUGAAAUUCAUACUUGUGAUCUGGAUGUUCUUAGAUUAAAUCUAAGUCAAUAAAUAAGACACUUGCAACUUGUAGAAGUCUUUUGUCUGAUGACUUUGACCACGACUUUUGCACUCCAAAUGGUGGGCUUUGGAAAAAAAGAAGCUUUGUUUCUCUUUCCCUCUCUCUCACUGGAGGUGGAAGACUAUCUAAAAACCUUAACCAUUCAUGGGUUGUUUAUAGGGUUCCCUUACUAGGCUUAUGGGCUUGAGUCACUUAAUCUAGCCCAAAUUGAGUCCUAGUUGACUAAUUCACCAUAUAAGGUUAUCUAAUCAAUCAAUUAGCUCAAUUCAAAAACCUUGUUCACUAUCCCAUGUCCAAUGUUGCAUGAUUACCAAAAGACCUUUAUGCACAAAAGUGAACCCAUAGCCAAUCCAUACCCUUAUAAAUCGUGUCAUCAUAGUAUAUAAGCUCGUAACGAAGACCACUAGGACCUAUAAGAGUACUGACUCCCUUAGAAUCCAAUUAUGAAGUUGAUUCAACAUCCCACUAUAAAUAAUCUACACUCCAAUAACAUAUAAAAUGACAACGAGACGAAGAUUGGGUCUAUGACCUACUAUCCACUGCAUAUAGACUUAUUAUGAAUUGGUGUUUGUAAUAUAACAAGGUAGUGCUAUCAUUUAUCAAAACUACCUCUCUAAUCCUUGAAUUACAUAUCUUACUUAUUAUGUAUUUAUCUAGCAUACUCUAACUUUAAAAAAUAUAUGUUAAAUUCCACUAAAAGAAUUUCUACAACCAUAGAUUUCAUGAUCACAUGUCCCUUAGAUCACCCAAUGGUACAUAUUGUUUCAAACCCAUGAUAUAUCAUAGUACCUCUAUUAAGAAUAUUUGUCGUCAUCAACCUCCAGCGACAAUAACUCAAUCCAUGGGGAUAUAGACACUAUAGGAUGUCACUUAUAGGUCAACGCCUCUUAUUGAUUUCAACACAUACUCAAUAUCAUCUCGACGUUAAAAGUCCAUCUAGUAUGAUAGUUCAGUAAAUUAUGACAAUUGAUAGUCUCGUGUAAUGAUUUAAGUCUCGUGUAAUGAUUUACCAUAGGUUUUAUCCAAUGUGCAUCACAUACACUAGUGCACUUAUUGUGGAAGAUUCAUUUAAAUGGUCAAGACAAGUCAUACCUUCAACUAGGAAGCAGUGCACUUACAAAGAACUCAUGAAUUAUAUCCUCUGUAUAACUCUUAAUGCACCUAAGUCAUGUACAAUAUAAGAGAUAUGUGUUGAAUGUUCAAAUCAAUGUCAAUGCAUAAAAGGGAUAGUAAGAAGAUAACCAAAUUCGACUUUGUUACAUCAUGUUUUACUUUUAAGGGAUCAAUCAUAACAAGAACCCCAUUCCAACAGUUAGACAAGUCAUCCCCCCAAUUAGAAGGUAGUGUACUAUAGUUCCUACUGAAUUACCUAAAUCUAAGAACUGGCUGUGAACAACUUAUCAUCUUGCAAAUAACCUAUAUGACUUUGUAUACAUUGUGCAAUUAAUGCACCCAAAUCAUGAACAAUGCAAGUGAUAUGAGUUGAAUGAUCAAAUCAAUGUUAAUGCAUAAAAGGAAUAACAAGGGGAAAAAUAAGUUUAACUUGGUUACAUCAUGUCUUGUUUUUAAGGGCCAUAAUCAUCAUGAACAAACCUAAAACAUUAGAGGAAGAUUUGAUGAACCCAUUGAAAGCACCAAGCAACCAACAUUGCCAAUAACAUCUUUCCAUAACAUCUUAAACAAAGAACGAUUAUAAGAAAAAAAUCUCACUAAGAACAAAAUUAAUAGCAAAAGACCUACUACAUGCCAAGCAACUAUGAAGAAAUGUAAAGAACGAGAAAUAUCCAAACUACCAUAUUGAAAAAUCAAUCGUUUAAAAUGACCAUGAGCAACUACGAUAUUAUAAGUUUCUUCAUCUUGAUCGAAUUUGUAACCUUUAUUAGCAAAUUCAUUUUUUGUGGUUUCCUUAAUCAAACUAAAGGUUACCAAGAAACCAUGCAUAACAUUGAAUAAAGACUCAUCAAAUACACCAACUACACCUAACAAGUGAAAUGGAUGCAUAAGGAUGUUGUGCUCAACCUAGAAUACAAUCAUGAAGUUGAAAGUACUAGAGAUUCCUAAAGGCAUGUCAUCAUCGAAGCUUUCAUGAGAUCAAAUUGUAAUUUGAUUACAACAAAAAAAUUAUUAUUGUUACUAUACUAUUAGAAAAGGUUUUAGGUACUAAAAAGUUACCUAGUUAACUUUUCAUCAAAUUUCAUAAAAAGUGUAUUAUAAAAUUUAAAUUAUUGAAUGAAAAUAUAAAACAAAAUGGUUGAGUACAAAGUAAUGAGAAUAAAAUAUAAAAGAUGAUAAAAAAACAUAUAAGAAUAUGAAAAAAGUACUGAAAUUAAGAUCUGUAAAAAGUAAUAAGAAAUUGAACUAUAUACUAAAUAAUGAAAUUAAACUUACAAGGUGUUUAAUAAAACAUAAUACUUAUUAUUUAAUGACUUAAAUUGACUUAAUUAUUGAGUUAAAAUUUAUUACUUAACCAUUACUUGAAAUAUUAAAGUUGUUUGACAAAAUUAACUUCAAAUUUAUUUUAAAUAAUCAAAUUAAUAUAUUUAUCCUUAUAAAUUAUACUUAAGGUAAAAGAGGUCAAGUAAUAAUGGGAGUCGUGGAGUAAAACAGAAGAGAUUGUAGAAGUAAUUAAAACAAAUGAGGAUAAAAAAUGUAAAAUAAAGAUGUAAAAUCCAAAAUAAGUUAAUUUAUUUUAUUAUUACUUAAAUUUGUUUUUGACUUUAAAUCAUAUAUUAAAUUAUUUUGUUAAACAUACUUAAUUAACUUAAUAACUUAAAUUAGGUUAUUAAGUAAGUAAGUUGGUUUAUUAAACAUAUACUUGAUAUAAAGUAAUAAAACCAAAAUACAUGAGAAACAUAGUUGAUCGAUAUCUAGCCACACCUUCCUACUAUUAUUAUUAUUAUUAUUAUUUUUUUUCUAGUUCGUUUUCUUUAAAAAAAUUUAUGCUAUUAGUUAUAAUUAGAAUUUAAUUUUUUUAUUAAAACACACGAAUAGCCAUGUGAUUGUACUUGUUGUGUAGCUUUUGCGCAAAACAAGCCGCAUGCCUUUUCAGCCUAACACGGUCCUUGUCCGCUACAGCAAACCACAUCACGCCACGUCAUAUAAAGUAAUGGCAGUUUCGUCAUUUAAAAUAAACCAACGUGAGAUCAGAGAAACUACAACUUAAACCGGCACCCGGAACCGCGCACACUCGAUUCAAGCCUCCUCUGGCGCCUGCGCCGCAGCCAUGUUUAGCUUCUGCAAACUGCAACUUCAAAAAUAGUCAGAAAUCUAAAAAUAAAAGAAAAAAACAGGAAAAUCGAAUUCUAGGGUUUUCAAAUGUCCAUGGCUUCUCUCCCCCACAUCGAUGAUGUAAGCCCAUCUCCCCCAUCUCUUACCUCUCUCUUUCUUAUAACUAGGGUUUCUCACGAUUUUGCUUUUGCGAAACACAGGAUGAUGAUUUCGGAGGCGAUUUCUCUGGAGGCCACAAUGGCAGGCGUUCAGGUUUUUAUUUUUAUUUUUGGCAACCAAAGACCUAUUUUUUUUGUAGGAUGUGGUUGCUCUUAUGUUUUAAUUUUUGUUUUUGUGUGUUUUGUGUUGGGGGAAUGUUAGGGAAUAAGAGAGGCUUUGGAGAUCUUGAGGAUGACGAAGACGAUAUUUUUAGCAACAAGAAGGUAUCGUUUUGUAUAAUUUAAUUUCUGGUUUUUAUGUUAAAAAGUUGGCGCGUGGAAACGUUAUGUGGGUAGUUUUGGUAAAUUGCGAUCGUCAGCCCUAACAGUUUGUGUGGCUCCUGAGAAAAUUUGGCAAAGGAAAAGAAAUUGAAAUUCUGAAUGAAAAAUUGAAGCAAUGUAAUGUAGUAGGAAUUUGUUUUUGACAAGGCAAAUGAUAAUGUGUAGGCAUUUUUUUUUUGUUUUCUCAAAAGUGGCUUCUUCAUUGAAAGGAACAUAACCUAUUCUGAUGAGGUACCACCGGAAUUGGUAAUGGAAGUUUGUUGUCUUAGAUUCUGACACAAGUGAGGACUCUGUUUCCAGGAUCAACCAGGAGAUAAUAAAUUAAGUGUCACCACUAGUUUCUUUUUUUGGGUGUAUGCAUUUAGUAACUCUGAAAUUGGCCUUUCAGGAAUUUCGGAUCCCAGUAGUUGGGUAGUGCAACUUUGGGAUCUGACGGUGGAGAAGAUUUUUAAGCAUUUGAUAGGAUGGGAAAAAGAGCAUUCUUCAAUUUGUGAAUGCUCAUUCACUCAACCUAAUUACACAUUCCUAUGUUAAUUCUUUCUAUCUGUAGGGCCUUAUGAUAAUGUUCAGUGGGAUAAAAUGAACAAAUAGCUUUGUUGGAGAAGGAAAACUAAGUUGAGGUUGUGUUCCCAUCUGCUCAUUCAUGGGCUAUGAGUUUUAAAUUUUCAGUGGGAUAAAAGGAACAAAUAGCUUUGUUGGAGAAGGAAAACUAAGUGGUGGUUGUGUUCCCAUCUGCUCAUUCACGGGACUAUGAGUUCUAAAUUUAUUUAUUUUUAUUUAUUUUUUAUUUUAGAGGCAAAGAAAGGUAUGUAUAAUAUAAUAACUAAAAAAGUACACCGAAGUACAUAGGAUGUAUAUAAGAGCCACCUAAAAGAAAGGCCUCAAAAGAGAUGCCACAAAAAAACCAUUCUCACUCUUAAGAAGACCCCACCCAAUCUAUUAAAUUAAUGAAAGACGUCAAGCUUGCUCUUAUGUACAUGCUAACCCUAAUUGAAAGAUUGCAAAGGAUCAAAUGUUUUAACUUUUGGUUAGUCUUUUUUUCGUUUUCAAAUACUCUUCAAUUUCAUUCUCACCAAAUUGUCCAAAAUAAUGUGGAGAAGAGCAACUCUCUAUACCUUCUUUCUUUUUCUCCCUACAAAGGGGUUGUGCCAACUUAAUAGAGUUUCUUUCACCGAAGAGAGGAUCACCCAAACUACAUUGUAUGAGGAGAACAACAAAUGCCAUAGAAUCAUUGCGUUGAUAUGGUGAGAUAGAAUAUACUUAAUAGAUUCCCUCUCAAGUUUACAAAGAAAAAACCUAUUCACUAGUGACCACCCUUUGUUUUGGAAUUGAUAUGAGGUCCAAACUUUUCUCCAAUUGGCUUUCCAAGCAAAAAAAGUUCACUUUGGACAGGCUCUCUGGAUUCCAAAUGAUGUCCAUUGGAAAGGGGAUUGACCUCUUGAGUUCCAAGACUGAAUAGAAAGAUUAAAUUCAAAACAUGUCCUUCGUAGAAUCCUCCCAGACGACCCCAUUGUUCUCCUCUCCUAACCAACUUCACUAGCGAUCUAAAAAAAAAAGUCUUACCAAAAUCCAACUCCCAAUCGUUAAAGUGCCUAGAAAAGCAUGGAUUCCAAUGACCCCUCACUCUUGAAUCUUCCUAGAUCUGUGACCCAAGCCUCCUUAGACGAGGCCAUCGCAUACAAGGACGGUAAGGAAAUACACAAGGGCUCCUUGCCACAACAUUUGUCCUUCCAAAACUUAACCCUCUUACCAUUACUUGCUUUAACGAAGGCUCUACUUAAGGAAAGAUCCCACCCCUUACAGCUUUUCAUACUGCAACAUUGAAACCAUCUCACUUUGCUAGAGUGUCAAUCCGCUCCUCCUUUCUGUACUUCCCCUCUAUAAUGCCUAAUACCUGCUUCCUCCUAUCCAAGCAAACAACUGUACAUAUGAGGCUUUUUCUCCAAAGGUUCACCCCCCCAAGGAAAAUGCCUUUGAAUCUUUGCUAACCUCAAUUUGACUUUUCUAGGGAUUAAAAACAAGGACAUCUAAUAGUUUGGUAGGUUGAACAACGUGCUUCUAAUCAACGUUAGCCUCUCCCCCCUUUAGAAAUAGAUUGGUGGGUUUUGAUUUGGAAAACAAAGCUCUUUGGGAAUUUGGAUGUGGAUGUUUCCACGAGAACAAACUUCUAUUUGGCACACUGAUUAAGAGUGUGUGCCAGAUUGGUUGAGGUCUAGAUGCAUGCAUAUAAUUGGUUUGAAUGACCUAUCCUACCCUACUUCCUUUGGAAUUCACUUUCUUCAGAGACCCUGAACUUGUGAUAGUCAACUCUUCUCAUUUUUAAGUUUCUCAAAGAGUAGACUUAUUCAUGCCUUUCCACUAUUCCAGUUGUUAGAGUCUUGAUUUGAGCAUUGCUUUCUCAAAGAAUCUUACUUCUAAUUCUUAUUUGGCUGUCUUUGUGAAUAAUUUUCUUUUUUCCUUCUUUUUUUUGUAAGAAAUGACUUGGAAGUCAAAUUUCUCUUAAGUUUGGACUUUUGUUAUGGUCAAUAUGCUUCCCUUGAGGAAGCCACAAUUUUUUGAUCCCAAAUACGCAUCAUUCAUUUUUUGGAUGGUUUGGAAGGAAAGGAAUAGAUUAGCCUUUAGGGGGGGGGGUCUUAGCAAUUCAGAGGUUCAAAUAUUCUUUUGUUUGUUAUAUCUGGGGUUGGGCUAAAUUGUAUAUGGAAGAGAAGCCGCUCUCCCUUUUAGAUUUCCUGGAGUGGAUUGCCUCCAGUUGAGGGGUGGUUUGUUUUUUGGUUUUUGCUUGUUUUUGGCCUUUGCUGCCUGGUAUACGUCCUGUAUACGUUGGGGUUUUUAGCCUCUUUAAUGAAUUGUGGUUACUUAUCAAAAAAAAAAAAUACGCAUCAUGCAUGAGUUCUUGGUCUAUAUAUCUAUUCAUCUUUUUUAUUUUUUUGUUUCUCCAUCAGUUGUUUGUAUUUGUUGGGGCUGGACCAUUCUCUGAUAUAUCUCCUCUCUGUUAGAUCUUUUCCUGGUUUUUGAGUGAGUAACAAACUGCUCUGGGUGCCUGCAAUUUUCAUUUUCAUGUUUGACAAUAUAUAUAUUUUUUUUCAUUGCCAUGUUUGUUCAUUUUUGUGAGAUGAAUUGUAAAUUUCUCAAGGCAAGUAUGAAUGAAUUGCAUCUGUUUGGGAGGAGAUUUGAUUUAAAAAGUAGUAUUUGCAGCACGUCGGGAGGAGUUGACUAGACUUGAUAUCUAUUUGCUGUUUGACCUUUACAUGGUGUUCUGUUUUUUGUUUUGCUCUAGGAGUCCUCUGCAGUGAAAUUUGAGAAUUGUCUUCAAUGGGCUUUCUUUACUUGCUUAGGCAAUCUUGGUGAAAUUAGGAUUAGUGGGAUUUUCUGAAAACCAUGGUAGCAUUUCAUCAGCUUCAACUUCUCUAAAAUUUGAAUUCUUGUUUGGGUAAGGGCAGCUAGGAAUUGACCUGUUGGGUAACAAUGUGGAAGUUGACUUUUUAAUUAUGUCAGAUGGACAAAUGCAAUUUGCUGAAACUGAAUGUUGUGCAAGAAAAGCCCUCGAGGCUUGGCUCAAGUAGUAAGGAGUUGAGUGGGAUUAUGGCAGGUACCAGGUUCGAGUCCUAGUGGGAGCAAAAAAGGAAAAAAGAAAAAGAAAAAAAAGAAAAAAUUAUUUACCUAUAGAAAAAAGGAAUAUUGUGCUACACAAACUUCAGAAUGACUAAUGCUUUUUGUGUGAAUGGAUUUGUUAAGAGUAAUUUGGGAAGCCAAUUCCUUGGAUGAAUACUUUCGAGGAAUUUAGGGAGCACUUCUAUCAUUCAUAGCAACUAUGCAUCUUGAUUUGGUGUUGAUGCCAUCUGCAGGUCCUUUUUUGGUUUUUGUUGAGUUUUUGGGGCUUCUGCUGUGUUGUCCACUUUUGUUAAUUUGUUGAUGCCUCCUGGUAUCUUCUGUUUCUUCAGACAGAGUACUUCUUGUUCUUUGCUCUGUUAUAUAUUUAAGGAGACUAUUUUAUCUGUGACAAAAAUGAAUAAUUGAUGCAUGAUGUAUAACUGGCUUCAGGUUUUAAUCUUUUUUAUAUUUAGGUCUACUUAUUAGUUUAUGUUUUUUUUUAUGACAUUCAAGUUCUUAUUUGCCAUCUUUAAUCACUCAUAGUUAUUUGCUAGUAUAUAAUCCAUAUGAACCUCAAAUAUGUGUAUAUAUAUUUCUCAUGUGUAUUAAUGAGUUGCAAAAAUUUGUGAAUCUUACGAACAUCAUUUCUCUUGUUUAUAAUGCAGGGAAGCUUCAAACUUGAAGAAACUGCUCCUGGAGUUGCGACAGGAAUGAUUUUGUCUCUCCGUGAGAGGUAUUAUUAGAUGGAGGAGAUUUUUAUUUUUAUCGAUUAAAAUUCUUAGUAUGCUAAUGUUAAUUAAAACUGCAAUUAGAGGUAGUGGACAACCAUAUAAUUGCAAAUAUCUAACUGAAGACUUGGCUUUAAAUAGAGUUGGAUGGAUAAAAAGGAUUCUUGUAGCUGAUCCCAAGUAGUAGGGGUUCAGAGGUUGUUGAGUUGAGUUUGACUGUAAUCAAGUUGGUUCAAUUGAAUCGAAUUUUUCUUCGAUUUCUAAUUUCCCCCUGUUUGAUAAAUUUUUUCCCCCAUUUUGUGAUUUCUCUUUUGCAGUCUUCAAAACUGUAAGGAUACUCUAGCAACAUGCCAAGUAU
rnacentral:lncRNA from 1 species